rnacentral:tRNA from 1 species
AAAAUCCGUCGACUUAAAUC